AUUGUUUACUCGAGUGUUGGUACUCCCAUUGCUUGGAUUUACUGCAGAAUUUGAAGUUCACCUCAGAUUUAGAUGAUUAUUUACCUUUUGUUAUCCGAUAUGUAUUACACGAGGAGGAGGAGGUCGUAUUACAGGAGCCAGCGGUGAAUGUUUUUAUGAAGCUGUAUGGGUCAACUUACUAUAAGAUAUAAGCGCCUACUUUGCUCGGUUGAUCUUUCAAAGGAUUUCUUCUUCAGCUACUCUUACAACAUCAUGCGCAGCCUUCAGAAGAACAUAACUGAGAAGAAUACUGGACAUUGUUUAUGAAACAAUGUUUGUAUGGAAUGAAUUUCUGACACGAGCAAUUCGGAAUCAUCUCAAGAAUACCAGUUGGACUGUUGCCUUAGUCCAUGGAUUUUUUAAACAGUACUGUCUAUUCAUCAUCGAAGACCACAAGUAGGGCUGCUGCUAACUCAAUGCCACCCAACUUAGGCGUUUCACUCCACGUCUCAUGACCUGAUAUAUAGUGAAAGCUUGAAUAAAGGGUUUGCAAAGGCAUGGCUUUGUAUAACCUGCUGACAUUUUUCAGUUUGAGCUGCUUCAGGCUUUCCUGAGUCGAACAUUUGCUCCAAGUAAGUGUUGGGCACUAGAUCGGGGGCAAUGGAGGUCAGGACGAAGCUCUAUCAGGCUAUCAGCAACCAGGACGAAGCCGCCAUGGAUGCCUGUGCAGAAACACCACCUUGCAACGACGGGUCAAGCAGUUGCGCAAA